rnacentral:rRNA from 1 species
GACGAACGCUGGCGGCGUGCUUAACACAUGCAAGUCGAACGAUGAAGCCUAGCUUGCUAGGUGGAUUAGUGGCGAACGGGUGAGUAAUACGUGAGUAACCUACCUUUAACUCUGGGAUAAGCCUGGGAAACUGGGUCUAAUACCGGAUACGACCAAUCUCCGCAUGGGGUGUUGGUGGAAAGCGUUAUGUAGUGGUUAUAGAUGGGCUCACGGCCUAUCAGCUUGUUGGUGAGGUAACGGCUCACCAAGGCGACGACGGGUAGCCGGCCUGAGAGGGUGAACGGCCACACUGGGACUGAGACACGGCCCAGACUCCUACGGGAGGCAGCAGUGGGGAAUAUUGCACAAUGGGCGCAAGCCUGAUGCAGCGACGCCGCGUGAGGGAUGACGGCCUUCGGGUUGUAAACCUCUGUUAGCAGGGAAGAAGAGAAAUUGACGGUACCUGCAGAGAAAGCGCCGGCUAACUACGUG